CCUCUCCUCGCCUCGUGUUACUCCGGUUUCCGCUGAUCGAUCAAACCAGAGCUGCGGAUGGCAUGAGAGAAGACUACUUUGGCGAUGAGCAGGAAGGAUUCGACUGAAGAAACCCUAUAAAGUUUGAAAGAAUGGCGUCGGUUCGAAGAGACGUGGAUCACAAGGUAUAAAGACGAAUUCUGAUUGGAUUAAAAUCGGGAGUCGAGAAGAUGAGAAGGGAACUGGAAGCUGAAGAUCGAGAAGAAGAAGAGAAGAAGAAGAAGAAAGGAGGAUAGCCAAAAGAUUUGCCGAACUUCGGCUAAUUUGCGUCACCUACGUUGCAAAAUCACAAA
rnacentral:lncRNA from 1 species